AUACGUAGGGUGCGAGCGUUGUCCGGAAUUACUGGGCGUAAAGAGCUCGUAGGUGGUUUGUCGCGUCGUCUGUGAAAUUCCGGGGCUUAACUCCGGGCGUGCAGGCGAUACGGGCAUAACUUGAGUACUGUAGGGGAGACUGGAAUUCCUGGUGUAGCGGUGAAAUGCGCAGAUAUCAGGAGGAACACCGGUGGCGAAGGCGGGUCUCUGGGCAGUAACUGACGCUGAGGAGCGAAAGCAUGGGUAGCGAACAGGAUUAGAUACCCUGGUAGUCCAUGCCGUAAACGGUGGGCGCUAGGUGUAGGGGUCUUCCAUGACUUCUGUGCCGUAGCUAACGCAUUAAGCGCCCCGCCUGGGGAGUACGGCCGCAAGGCUAAAACUCAAAGGAAUUGACGGGG
rnacentral:rRNA from 1 species